UUUGAUACCGUAUAGAGAUUAUGCGAGGAGGAUAUCAACUUUCUUUACAAAGGUUGAGUUUCAUCAUAUUUCAAGCGUUUAUCCCCAGCAUGGUUGAUGUGAUGUUCUCCUUGUGGUUCAUCAUCUUUCCCCAGCUGAGGCCUUUGUGAAUUUUCAUUCUCAGUUUGCAUUUAUUAUGAUUGAACCUUGGAUCUCCGUAAAACCUUUAUUUGGUUUUUAGGUUCCUAACACCUUUAUUUGGUUGUUGCAUAGCCAUGGCAUGAUUUC
rnacentral:lncRNA from 1 species